rnacentral:pre_miRNA from 1 species
UUGCUUUCGUAUAAGUAUGUCCCAGGCAAUCUUUGGGACAUACUUAUGCUAAAA